AUGGCCCAGACCGCCUUCACGCACUUCUCCUUCGUCCUCGGCGCGCUCGCGGAGCACGACAUCACCCUCGACCUGCCGCCAUUGGUCAGCGCUCCUUCGGCCUCUGCCCUGGAUCUUCCAUUCUCGUCGGCGGAGAUUUGGGAGGCUAUCAAGCGGCUUCCUUCGGGCAAAGCCCCCGGCCCUGAUGGCUUCACGAUCGAGUUCUUACGUUCUUGCCGGCCCAUCAUCAAAGACGAUCUUUGCGAUGUCUUCGACAAGCUCUACGCGCUCAAUGGCCAGGCCUUUCAGCGUCUCAAUGAGGCAUACAUCACUUUGCUGCCCAAGCGACCCGAUACCGCCUCCGUCUUCGAUUACCGGCUGAUUAGCCUCAUCCACCUGAUCACGAAGCUCUUUGCUAAGGUUCUCUCACUUCGGUUGGCACCGUGUCUUGGCGAGCUUGUCUCCCCAACCAAAGCGCCUUCAUUGCUGGAAGGAGCGCCCACGACAAUUUCCUCCUUGUCCAACAAACCGCGUGGCAGCUGCAUCAGCUCAAGCACCCUUGCGUCCUCCUCAAGCUGGAUAUUGUGCGUGCUUUCGAUUCGGUUUCCUGGCCGUUCCUGCUCCAGGUUCUCCAGCACAUGGGUUUCGACCCGACAUGGCGCAAGUGGAUCUCCAUACUGA
rnacentral:rRNA from 1 species